rnacentral:rRNA from 1 species
UACCAGCACCCCGAGUGGUCGGGACGUUUAUUGGGCCUAAAGCAUCCGUAGCCGGUUCUACAAGUCUUCCGUUAAAUCCAACUGCUUAACAGGUGGGCUGCGGAAGAUACUAUAGAGCUAGGAGGCGGGAGAGGCAAGCGGUACUCGAUGGGUAGGGGUAAAAUCCGUUGAUCCAUUGAAGACCACCAGUGGCGAAGGCGGCUUGCCAGAACGCGCUCGACGGUGAGGGAUGAAAGCUAGGGGAGCGAAUGGG